UACGAAGGGGGCUAGCGUUGUUCGGAAUUACUGGGCGUAAAGCGUAUGCAGGCGGAUCGUUAAGUCGGGGUGAAAUCCCGAGGCUCAACCUCGGAACUGCCUUCGAUACUGGCGACCUUCGAGUCCGGGAGAGGUGAGUGGAACUCCGAGUGUAGAGGUGAAAUUCGUAGAUAUUCGGAAGAACACCAGUGGCGAAGGCGGCUCACUGGCCCGGUACUGACGCUGAUGUGCGAAAGCGUGGGGAGCAAACAGG
rnacentral:rRNA from 1 species